UACGAGAGGAACCGCAGGUUCAGACAUUUGGUGUAUGUGCUUGGCUGAGAGCCACUGGAGCGAGGCUACCAUCUGUGGGAUUAUGACUGAACGCCUCUAAGUCAGAAUCCCCCCUAAACGUAGCGAUACCGCAGCGCCGAGGGCGCCUCGGUGGGCUCGCGAUAGCCGGCGCCGCCCCCCUCGGGCGGGCGGUGCGGAGCGCCGCUCGUGGUCGGGACCGGAGCGCGGACAGAUGUGGCGCCGCCUCUCCCCCGCCGCGUACCGCAUGUUCGUGGGGAACCCCGGUGCUAAAUCAUUCGUAGACGACCUGAUUCUGGGUCGGGGUUUCGUACGUAGCAGAGCAGCUCCCUCGCUGCGAUCUAUUGAGAGUCAGCCCUCGACACAAGCUUUUGU
rnacentral:ncRNA from 1 species